rnacentral:rRNA from 1 species
CGAGGGGCAGCAGCUUUAUAGCAAUAUAGAGGCUGGCGACCGGCAAACGGGUGCGGAACACGUACACAACCUUCCUUUAAGAGGGGGAUAGCCCAUAGAAAUGUGGAUUAAUACCCCGUAAUAUUAUUGAAGUGGCAUCACUUUAUAAUUAUAGUUACGACGCUUGAAGAUGGGUGUGCGGCUGAUUAGGUAGUUGGCGGGGUAAAGGCCCACCAAGCCUUCGAUCAGUAGCUGAUGUGAGAGCAUGAUCAGCCACACGGGCACUGAGACACGGGCCCGACUCCUACGGGAGGCAGCAGUAAGGAAUAUUGGUCAAUGGACGCAAGUCUGAACCAGCCAUGCCGCGUGAAGGAUGAAGGUCCUCUGGAUUGUAAACUUCUUUUAUAGGGGGCGAAAAAAGGGAAUUCUUUCUCACUUGACAGUACCCUAUGAAUAAGCACCGGCUAACUCCGUGCCAGCAGCCGCGGUAAUACGGAGGGUGCAAGCGUUAUCCGGAUUCACUGGGUUUAAAGGGUGCGUAGGCGGGUUUAUAAGUCAGUGGUGAAAUCCUGGAGCUUAACUCCAGAACUGCCAUUGAUACUAUGGAUCUUGAAUAUGGUGGAGGUAAGCGGAAUAUGUCAUGUAGCGGUGAAAUGCAUAGAUAUGACAUAGAACACCUAUUGCGAAGGCAGCUUACUACGCCUAUAUUGACGCUGAGGCACGAAAGCGUGGGGAUCAAACAGGAUUAGAUACCCUGGUAGUCCACGCCCUAAACGAUGAUUACUCGACGUAUGCGAUACACAGUAUGCGUCU